UACGUAGGGCGCAAGCGUUGUCCGGAAUUAUUGGGCGUAAAGAGCUCGUAGGCGGUGUGUCGCGUCGGCCGUGAAAACCUGCAGCUUAACUGUGGGCUUGCGGUCGAUACGGGCAGGCUAGAGUUCGGUAGGGGAGACUGGAAUUCCUGGUGUAGCGGUGAAAUGCGCAGAUAUCAGGAGGAACACCGGUGGCGAAGGCGGGUCUCUGGGCCGAUACUGACGCUGAGGAGCGAAAGCGUGGGGAGCGAACAGGAUUAGAACCUACCGUAGUCAG
rnacentral:rRNA from 1 species